rnacentral:rRNA from 1 species
AACGAACGCUGGCGGCGUGCCUAACACAUGCAAGUCGAACGUGAAAGUCCUUCGGGGCGAGUAAAGUGGCGCACGGGUGAGUAACGCGUGGAUAACCUACCCUGGAAUCCGGGAUAACAUUUCGAAAGAGGUGCUAAUACGGGAUAAGCUUACGACAUCUUCGGGUGAUGUGAGAAAAGGUGGCCUCUGCAUAUGCUACUGUUUCAGGAUGGGUCCGCGUACCAUUAGCUAGUUGGUGGGGUAAAGGCCUACCAAGGCGACGAUGGUUAGCUGGUCUGAGAGGAUGAGCAGCCACACUGGAACGGAGACACGGUCCAGACUCCGACGGGAGGCAGCAGUGGGGAAUUUUGCGCAAUGGGCGAAAGCCUGACGCAGCAACGCCGCGUGAGUGAUGAAGGCCUUCGGGUCGUAAAGCUCUGUCAGGGGGAAAGAAGUGUAUAGUGGUUAAUAUCCAUUAUACUUGACGGUACCCCCAAAGGAAGCACCGGCUAACUCCGUGCCAGCAGCCGCCGUAAGAC